rnacentral:rRNA from 1 species
AUGAAGAAGAUGGGGUCCAUGUACCCCAUCGUGCCCAUCGGGUUCGUCCGCCGGCAGACUGUGUCCUCCUCCAGGGGCUUCAUCUGCACAAUGCGCGCCGUUCCAAAGUCCCCUAGCCGGCUCACAUUCCCGGCGUCGAGAAGGAUGUUCGUCAGCUUCAGGUCCGCGUGGAUGAUAGCGUGGGGGAAGCUGGAGUGGAGGUGCGCUAGAGCGGAACGCUGUUCGGCGAGGAUCCUGAUGCGGUCCUUCCAUGGUAGCCCCUUGGAGAGCCCAUCCAUGAGCGUGCCAUUCGGGAGGUGCUCGUAA